UACGUAGGUGGCAAGCGUUGUCCGGAAUUACUGGGUGUAAAGCGCGUGUAGGCGGGAGGCCAAGUCUGCUGUGAAAUCGCUCGGCUCAACUGGGCGGGGUCGGUGGAAACUGGUCACCUGGAGGACGGUAGAGGCGAGUGGAAUUCCCGGUGUAGUGGUGAAAUGCGUAGAGAUCGGGAGGAACACCAGUGGCGAAGGCGGCUCGCUGGGCCGGUCCUGACGCUGAGGAGCGAAAGCGUGGGUAGCGAACAGG
rnacentral:rRNA from 1 species